rfam:Schistocephalus solidus strain NST_G2 genome assembly, scaffold: SSLN_scaffold0010786
GGCUUCGUAGCUCAGUUGGCUAGAGCAUUCGCUGUACUAAAGCCUUCCACUUGCUGGCGUGGGUUCGAAUCCCACCGAGGCCA